CGUAGGGUGCAAGCGUUAAUCGGAAUUACUGGGCGUAAAGCGUGCGCAGGCGGUUUUGUAAGUCUGAUGUGAAAUCCCCGGGCUCGACCUGGGAAUUGCAUUGGAGACUGCAAGGCUAGAAUCUGGCAGAGGGGGGUAGAAUUCCACGUGUAGCAGUGAAAUGCGUAGAUAUGUGGAGGAACACCGAUGGCGAAGGCAGCCCCCUGGGUCAAGAUUGACGCUCAUGCACGAAAGCGUGGGGAGCAAACAGGAUUAGAUACCCUGGUAGUCCACGCCCUAAACGAUGUCUACUAGUUGUCGGGUCUUAAUUGACUUGGUAACGCAGCUAACGCGUGAAGUAGACCGCCUGGGGAGUACGGUCGCAAGAUUA
rnacentral:rRNA from 1 species